rnacentral:lncRNA from 1 species
AGAAAAGGGCGGGAAAAAUUUGUUUCCACAACUGAUACCCGCCUUUGUAAGGACAAUGCCUGGGGAGCCUAAGCUGAAGGUGGUGGCUUGGCAACACGGCCGACGCCAACCUCGCCGUUGCUGCUUCAUUCAUCAAGGGUGCCGGCGGUGUCACGUCACGCGUGAUGACCCAUUGGAAGUUGUUCCUGGAGUACAAGCCUGACAAGGUGCAAGUCGUGGAGUUCGUGAGGCGGGGGAGGCGGCUGUGUGCCGCGUCGACAUGGAUGGAUGGAGAAGAGGCUCGCACGGAACUGGUGUUUGCGUUUCGACUAUGGCCGCUGCACAGUCAGUCGAGCUUCCGGAUGGGCGAUUCACAUACCGGAAAGUUGCCUUUCAAAUGACAAGAUGUUGCAACCUGGGCCAGUACGAAGCCACUCGUAACAAUUGUCAGACCUCACUCUUGAAACUUCUUCGUCGCCUGAGAGUGGUGGUUCCCGACCACCUGAAAACAUUGGGCGACGAGCUCAAUCCGUUUGAAGCGGCCAUCGUGGAGAACGCGCCAUUGCCCAACAAAUGAACGCUCGGGCCCAACUUUGCAGUUUUUCCUUUUGCCUUUUCAUCUGGUGCGUUUCCCUUUGUCCAUUUUGCUUUCAUUUUUUGCUGCUGUUUAUCGCUUCCAUUUUUUCCUUUUUUUUUUCGAUUUUUUCCUUUUAUCAUUUUUACCUUUUCCCGCUUUUCAUUUUUGUUAAAUAAAUUUAUUGCAUUUA